rnacentral:ncRNA from 2 species
GAUUUAUACCGAAAGGGGGAGAGACAGGCUCAUUGAACCCUUAGCAACUUGCCGAUGUGCGUAGUGCUAACCUGCCUAAUCCAUUUGUUAGGAACUAUAAAUU